GAAUUUUGUAAGAACACUGUAGACAAUCCCUUGGGUCUGUGUUCCUAAUAUGAAUUCUAUACCAGAUGUAGACUAUACAGAGAGGUUCAAGGCUUUCCAGAGUCUCCACCAUUGACUGUGUCGGGAACUUGCGUCUUCUCUACACACUGUUCCAUUCGCUUCAUGAUUAAGUCCAGAAGGGUUUCCACAGCUUUCUCCACAUUCUGGCCAGUUGCAGCACUCGUUUCAAAAUAUGGUAUACUUGCAUCGAAGAGGUGAUGCGUUAUUUUUGAGAGGAAGAAAUCAGAAAAGACACAAGAAGAUGUGCAAAUGAGGAACACGGGCAAAAACAUGGCUGGCUGAGAGAUGAUGAAAUAAUCAUGGUUUUGCCCACAGAGUUGGAAAAAGCACCUUUUUCUCUCAGACACACUGUGCAAAAGAGAGAAGAAGGAGGG